rnacentral:rRNA from 1 species
UACGAAGGGGGGCUAGCGUUGCUCGGAUUGACUGGGCGUAAAGGGCGCGUAGGCGGUUUGCAUAGUCAGACGUGAAAUUCCUGGGCUUAACCUGGGGGGCUGCGUUUGAUACAUGCAGGCUUGAGUUCGGAAGAGGGUCGUGGAAUUCCCAGUGUAGAGGUGAAAUUCGUAGAUAUUGGGAAGAACACCGGUGGCGAAGGCGGCGACCUGGUCCGAUACUGACGCUGAGGCGCGAAAGCGUGGGGAGCAAACAGG